rnacentral:tRNA from 1 species
UCGUUAGCUCAGUUGGUAGAGCAGCGGACUCUUAAUCCGUUGGUCGUAGGUUCGACCCCUACAC